rnacentral:rRNA from 1 species
UACGUAGGGGGCUAGCGUUGUCCGGAUUCAUUGGGCGUAAAGAGCUCGUAGGCGGCUGUUCAAGUCGAACGUGAAAACUCGGAGCUCAACUCCGAGCCUGCGUUCGAUACUGGACGGCUAGAGUCUGGUAGGGGGAUCUGGAAUUCCUGGUGUGAGCGGUGAAAUGCGCAGAUAUCAGGAAGAACACCCGUGGCGAAGGCGGUUCUCUGGGACGGUACUGACGCUGAGACGCGAAAGCGUGGGGAGCGAACAGG